rnacentral:tRNA from 1 species
UCAGAAAGGGAAGUCUACAUAAAUCCUACUCCCACCGGCAACUCCCAAAGCCACCAUUCUUAAAAUUAAACUACCUCCUG